AAUCUUAGAACUUUCGUUAUCACGAGAAAUCACCCCACAGACCCUUUUGUUGACGAUGGAGAAUUUGGAUCGGAUGCUGAUUACGACUUGACGAUUGACGACGUCUGGGAACGUCAGCGCAAUAUAUUUAAAUACUAAUAUCAUCAGCUAUUUGCACAACGUCAUUAGACGCCGCUCGAAUUUAUAUGAAAAAAUGAUGUGCAAUAUCGCAUAGAGCUACAAUAUUGACUUGUUCGCGUGAAAGUGUUAAAUCAGAUAUUUUAGAAAA